CAGAGUCAUUACAAAAGGAUCUACACAGUUAGAGGCAAUUCUGCUUAACCUCACAAAGAGCACAACCAUCUCAGCUGCACUGGAUGAGCAAGUAUGAAGUAUCCCCUUCACACUUCAAAGAACAUACUGAUCAUCACUACCUCCAUAUGGAGCUGCUCCAAUUGUGGCAAGGUAGCCACUGGGCAAGAAUCAUCUGCAGACAAGAAAAUUAUGUCUAGGAAAGGACACAUGAUGCAGGAUAGUCUACAGCUUUGCUCUGCUAAUUCCAGGAGACUGUGCAUGUCUGCAUGCAAGAUACCGAGGGACCCUGUACCCAGUUGGAAGUGGCACUAUUAGGAGGUGUGUCUUUGUUUGUAUUGAUUUGUCUUUGUUGGAGGACGUGUGUCACUGUGUAGGUGGGCUUUGAAGGCUCCUAGUGCUCAUGGUCCACACAGUGCAUAAGAGAGUCCUCUCUUGGCUGCCUUUGGAUCAAGAUAGAUCUCUAAGCUCCUCCAGCACCAUGCCUGCCUUUCUUCUCACCAUGAUGACAGUGGACUGAACCUCUGAAACUGGAAGCCAGCCCCAAUAAAAUGUUUGCUCUUAUAAGAGAUGCCUUGGCCAUGGAGUCUCUUCACAGUAGUAAAGCCCAACUAAGACAGGGACUGUUGGAACAAUUUUGAAGUGAAUACAGUAACUUGCACAUUUUGUAAAUAUUCAAAUUUAUUGUAAUGACUGUAUAUAAUCCUGAUGUAAUUGUUUUGAAUUAAGAAACAUCAUAAGUAAGAAAUCUCAGAGUUAUUA